GCAGAAUCUUUGAACGACUAGGCCUUGUAAUUGGCCUUGAUUUCCAUUCUAUUAGUCAAAUUGACAAAGUGAGUAUAGAUUCUAGGAAAAGGAUAAGUAGAUGCUACCCUUUGAUCAGAUCAUCAGCAACAACACACUGCAAAACCUUCAUGUGACGAGGCCUGGUUCACCGAGGAUGAUCACGUAACAAUUCAACAGGCAUAAUUUAAAAAGAGGAGGAAAAUCAAAUUCCUGGAAGUAGGAGAGAUGGAGAGUGCACUUGGAAACUGCUUCUCUGGUUGUUCAUGUCCAUCAGUUAUGGACAGUCAAGUGGAAGAACCUUGGAUUUGAAGCUGUUGCCUACAGUGUCAGAGGUCUGUGUGCUCAUUGCCUCAUUUCUCAAGGUCGACCUGGAAAGUUCCUGUCUAUUUUCACAGAAGUAGUCUCCUUCACACAAAAAUUUGGACUCCUUUUAGGAUUUUAUUGUUUUUCAAAGG
rnacentral:lncRNA from 1 species